rnacentral:sRNA from 1 species
AAGAGGGGGAAAUGAUUUCAUUAUCGAUAAGCGCCAGUUGUAGCAGCACUGCAUUCGUUUACAUGCAGAAGUACUCACAUGCAUAUGCAAGAGUGCAACAGCCAUUCUGGUGAACGACUGACCUGCCACUCUCACUUUAUAGCUCUGUGUGCCCUUGCGAGUAUUGGUACGUGUGCGUGUGUGUGUGGCCGUGAAAAAGAAAUGCCAAUUGACAACACAUGUUACGUAAUGCCGCUGCUUUUCAGCAACAGACGGCCAACAGAGCGGAGAAGAUAGCAACGAUCGAAAAAUGCAAAAACAAUUAGCAGAGAAAGAAUUAGCAGAACAUUUGAAAUGUUAUAAAAUACAAUAAAACGCGAUAAGCCGCGUAUUUGGCGAACAAUUCCAUUCACAUCACUUGUGGCAUUUAAUUGCUCGAAAAGCCAUAAAAACGCAUG